UACUUUGAGUUGGUACGAAUCAU
rnacentral:miRNA from 1 species